ensembl:lncRNA
UAUCUGAAUAUAUAGAUAUGAGACUGGGUGUAUUUCCUGUCUUUUUUUUUUAUAUGUCCCAAAUUUUACCCUAGUCUGGUCAACAGCCUAGUGACCUCUGAUCAACCGUACUAUGUAGACCAACUGACAUGUUAUGUAUAUUGUGCCUACUUUGGGUGGAUGUCUGUUAUCUGGAGAGGAGUUUCUCGUUUUGGGUGGAUGUCUGUUAUCUGGAGAGGAGUUUUCGUUUUGGGUGGAUAUCUGUUACCUGGAGAGGAGUUUCUCGUUUUGGGUGGAUAUCUGUUAUCUGGAGAGUAGUUUCUCGUUGAGGGUGGAUGUCUUUUAUCUGGAGAGGAGUUUCUCGUUUUGGGUGGAUGUCUGAUAUAUCUGGAGAGGAGUUUCUUGUUUUGGGUGGAUGUCUGUUAUCUGGAGAGGAGUUUCUCGUUUUGGGUGGAUGUCUGUUAUCUGGAGAGGAGUUUCUCGUUUUGGGUGGAUGUCUGUUAUCUGAAGAGGAGUUUCUCGUUUUGGGUGGAUGUCUGUUAUCUGGAGAGGAGUUUCUCGUUUUGGGUGGAUGUCUGUUAUCUGGAGAGGAGUUUCACGUUUUGGGUGGAUGUCUGUUAUCUGGAGAGGAGUUUCUCGUUUUGGGCGAAUUUCUUAUCUAGAGAGGAGUUUCUCGUAUUGUUUGGAUGUCUUUUAUCUGGAGAGGAGUUUCUCGUUUUGGGUGGAUGUCUUAUCCUUUCCUGUGACAGGAGAGAUAUGUCUGUUAUCUGGAGGAAGGUUUUUCCUGUGUUGUGGAGAGAUAUGUCUGUUAUCUGGAGGGAGGUGUUUCCUGUGACAGGAGAGGUAUGUCUGUUAUCUGGAGGGAGGUGUUUCCUGUGUUGUGGAGAGGUACGUCUGUUAUCUGGAGGGAGGUGUUUCCUGUGUUCUGGAGAGGUAUGUCUGUUAUCUGGAGGGAGGUGUUUCCUGUGUUGUGGAGAGGUAUGUCUGUUAUCUGUAGGGAGGUGUUUCCUGUGACAGGAGAGGUAUGUCUGUUAUCUGGAGGGAGGUGUUUCCUGUGUUCUGGAGAGAUAUGUCUGAUAUCUGUAGGGAGGUGUUUCCUGUGUUGUGGAGAGGUAUGUCUGUUAUCUGGAGGGAGGUGUUUCCUGUGUUGUGGGGAGGUAUGUCUGUUAUCUGUAGGGAGGUGUUUCCUGUGACAGGAGAGGUAUGUCUGUUAUCUGGAGGGAGGUGUUUCCUGUGACAGGAGAGGUAUGUCUGUUAUCUGGAGGGAGGUGUUUUCUGUGUUCUGGAGAGAUAUGUCUGUUAUCUGGAGGGAGGUGUUUCCUGUGUUGUGGAGAGGUAUGUCUGUUAUCUGUAGGGAGUGUUUCCUGUGACAGGAGAGGUAUGUCUGUUAUCUGGAGGGAGGUGUUUUCUGUGUUGUGGGGAGGUAUGUCUGUUAUCUGGAGGGAGGUGUUACCUGUGUUGUGGAGAGGUAUGUCUGUUAUCUGUAGGGAGGUGUUUUCUGUGUUCUGGAGAGAUAUGUCUGUUAUCUGGAGGGAGGUGUUUCCUGUGUUGUGGGGAGGUAUGUCUGUUAUCUGUAGGGAGGUGUUUCCUGUGUUGUGGAGAGGUAUGUCUGUUAUCUGGAGGGAGGUGUUUCCUGUGUUGUGGGGAGGUAUGUCUGUUACCUGGAGGGAGGUGUUUCCUGUGUUGUAGAGAGGUAUGUGAGACAGGGCUGUUUAAUAUGUUUAUACUGUAUGAAGAUUAAGGGGAUGGCAGUCUUACAGUCUGAUAGCUGUCUUCUAUUGGUGCUCUACAAUUACAGCCCCAACCCCCUCCUCUUUUGGUGUGUGGUUAGUGUAGGUAGCCCCUCCCCAUCUCUCAGAACGGCCUAUCGGACACCUGCACUAUUCUCUGUCAUCUGGAUGUGGUGGAAUUAUUGUGGAACUAACUCUAAAAUAGAAAGAUAUUCUAAAAGAAGGCAUGGUUUUCAACAAUAGACUUGAGAAUUGGAAUGUAUUCUCAAAGGUGAGAUGGUUUCCCAGCUAUAAAUUAGUUGGCCUCCGUCCUCUCAUUGGCACCUUUUGAAAAAGGUCAAAGGUGGUUGAAGAGAAAAUCCAUGCAUGAAAAUGUUUUUUUGAAAUUACAUUCUUCUCCUUUUGUUUAUCAUCAAGCAGAAGCUUUUAGUUCCUCGUUGGACCCCAGAAUAAAUGUGUAAAGUGAUAAAAACAAAUGGUCUUGGUUGUGCAUUACAUUUAACAGAUGAAACCAUAACCAGCAUAAUUUUCAAAUGCAUUCAUGCUUUUCU